rnacentral:rRNA from 1 species
ACUGCUCAGUAACACGUGGACAACCUGCCCUUAGGUUGGGUAUAAACCCGGGAAACUGGGUAUAAUACCCGAUAGGUCUCGAUUGCUGGAAUGCAUCGAGAUUUAAAGCUCCGGCGCCUAAGGAUGGGUCUGCGGCCUAUCAGGUAGUAGUGGGUGUAGCGUACCUACUAGCCUACGACGGGUACGGGUUGUGAGAGCAAGAGCCCGGAGAUGGAUUCUGAGACACGAAUCCAGGCCCUACGGGGUGCAGCAGGCGCGAAAACUUUACAAUGCUGGCAACAGCGAUAAGGGAACCUCGAGUGCCAGGUUACAAAUCUGGCUGUCGAGAUGCCUAAAAAGCACUUCAUAGCAAGGGCCGGGCAAGACCGGUGCCAGCCGCCGCGGUAACACCGGCGGCUCGAGUGGUAACCGUUAUUAUUGGGUCUAAAGGGUCUGUAGCCGGCCGGAUAAGUCUCUUGAGAAAUCUGGCAGCUUAACUGUCAGGCUUUCAGGAGAUACUGUCUGGCUCGAGGCCGGGAGAGGUGAGAGGUACUUCAGGGGUAGGGGUGAAAUCUUGUAAUCCUUGAAGGACCACCAGUGGCGAAGGCGCCUCACCAGAACGGACCUGACGGCAAGGGACGAAAGCUAGGGGCACGAACCGGAUUAGAUACCCGGGUAGUCCUAGCCGUAAACGAUACUCGCUAGGUGUCGGCCACGGUGCGACCGUUGUCGGUGCCGUAGGGAAGCCGUGAAGCGAGCCACCUGGGAAGUACGGCCGCAAGGCUGAAACUUAAAGGAAUUGGCGGGGGAGCAC